UCUAACUAGACCGGCUUACUUUUGCUUCAUACUUGAUAAUAUACUUGUUUUGCUAAAUGUUGUGGUGCCAAUAAUGCCUGACAUUUAAUGUGCGAUUUUAUUAAUUUUUUCUGGUUUUUCUCUAAUUAAGCAUGAGGAAAUUGUAAAUAUGGGUUAUUAUAUAUUCACUGGGGAGGCAUCUGGUUCAUUAACUGUCCAUUCUUGAUGUUCAGUAUAUAGCAAUAUUCACUGUGCUUGUCUUUAUCCUGUUUUUGUUGGGGAAGCAAUUUUGAGCUAUUGGUUGAAACUAGUACCGGCAUCUUCAACUUUCUUUGUAUUUUACUUUAAUUUGUUAUCCUCAUUUUAGAUUUUAUUUUCUCACAUUGAAGCCCUAUAAACUAUAGAUGUGAUUUGUGCACUGCGCAGAUUCCUUGAUCUUAGUUGUGAUCCAAACAGUGAGAGGAGGUUUCUAAUGCUAAUGCCUUAUUUGGGUAUUCUGUAGGUGUAUGGAGUGUCAUGGAUUGUGCUUCUUGGACUUAUAGUUCUUUUCAAGGUAUUCACCUUCAGCCAGAAGAUGUCUGUUAAUUUUCAGCUUGUCUUGCGGUUCGUCCAAGGCAUCUUGUUCUUGUUGGCCCUGGCUGGUAUAGCCAUUGCAGUUGUAUUUACAGACUUGUCAGUUACAGACAUAUUUGCAUUCAUCUUAGCAUUUGUACCUACUGGAUGGGGAAUUCUUUCUAUUGCUGCGGCGUGGAAGCCGUUGAUGAAGAGAUUGGACUGUGGAAAUCCAUCAGUCAAUUGCUCGGCUGUACGAUGCUGGCAUGGGAAUGCUCAUCUUCAUUCCCAUUGC